rnacentral:rRNA from 1 species
UACGGCGGGUGCUAGCGUUGUUCGGAAUUACUGGGCGUAAAGCGCACGUAGGUGGAUUGCUAAGUCAGGGGUGAAAUCCCGAGGCUCAAACUCGGAACUGCCUUUGAUACUGGCAAUCUCGAGUCCGGGAGAGGUGAGUGGAAUUCCUAGUGUAGAGGUGUAAUUCGUAGAUAUUAGGAAGAACACCAGUGGCGAAGGCGGCUCACUGGCCCGGUACUGACACUGAGGUGCGACAGCGUGGGGAGCAAACAGG